ensembl:lncRNA
GCUGGCUCAGGGCGGCGCCCGCCGCCUGCUCCUCGGAGGUGGCGUUACCAGUUGUGACACUUCGUCCAAAUCUCUGUUUCUGGGGCUCAGAAACGCCUGGUAGGCCGGGACAGCGCUCCUGGGAGUCUGGGUGGGCCGGAGCCCAGUUUGGGGACGCCCUCCGUCCUGGCCCCUUCCGCUCUGGCCCUGCUCCCCUUCCGCCGUGAGGCUGGGGGCGCGGGGCGCGGUGUCCAGCAACGGGAGCGCUCCCGGUACCUCCUUCCCCGCUCCUCCGGGGCCGGAGUCGUCACCUGGGCACACGUGAGGGUGGCCACUCACGUGCGCAGCAUACUCUGAGCGAACCACCUUUGUUUUCUCAUUUGAAUAUCUUUUUGAGCAAUCCACGAGUCGGAGUCAAAGAGGAAGUCUCAAAAUUAAAAAAAAAAAAAAGAAUGAAAAUGCAAAUGCCACAGUGAAGUUUGUGGAGUGCAGCUGAAGCUGUGCCUAGAGGGAAAGCUACAGCACAGAAGGCUAAUAUGAGAAGAGCUGCCUCACAUCAGGGAUAUAAACUCACAGCCCCAAACCCAGAAAAAGAAGUAUAAAGUAAACUCAAAGUAAGGAGAAGGAAAAAAACACUAAAUCUAUGAGUAGAAUCAGUGUAGCUGACCCUCAGACUCCACAGAUUGGCGCCAGGAGCCCCCUUGGAGACCCAAACACCCAGAUGCUCAAGUCCGUUACAUAAAAUGGUUCGGUGUUUGCAUAGGAGCUGAGCACCACCUCCUGAAUCAUCUCUAGAUGACGUGUACUACCUAAUUCAGUAUAAACGCUGGCCAAUAGUUGUUACUGUAUUGUUUGAGGAAUAGUGACAAGACAAAGUCUACACAAGUGCAAUAGAUUAAAUUACACUGAGAAGUUGGUCGAACUCUUGGAUAGGAAUCCUUGGACACGGAGGGCUGGCUGUACCCGAGAUGAAAAUGGGAAAGCGACCCAGCCACUUGAGAUAGCAUUUUCUGAAGGGUCACUGCACAAAUCCCAGGCCUUGGCUUCUGAGCUCUUUGCUCUCAAGGAAGGUGCUUGAUGAGGCAGAGCAACAAAUCUUGUGAUUCCUCUGUGACCUUGGGGGCAAACUGAGCCUCCAGGGCCUCCCCACUUUCCCUUCGGUUCGUGCACCAGAC